CUAACACCUGCGGCAGGCUUAACACAUGCAAGUCGAGCGGGCGUAGCAUACGUCAGCGGCAGACGGGUGAGUAACGCGUGGGAACGUACCUUUUGGUUCGGAACAACACAGGGAAACUUGUGCUAAUACCGGAUAAGCCCUUACGGGGAAAGAUUUAUCGCCGAAAGAUCGGCCCGCGUCUGAUUAGCUAGUUGGUAGGUAAUGGCCUACCAAGGCGACGAUCAGUAGCUGGUCUGAGAGGAUGAUCAGCACAUUGGGACUGAGACACGGCCAAACUCCUACGGGAGGCAGCAGUGGGGAAUAUUGGACAAUGGGGGCAACCCUGAUCCAGCCAUGCCGCGUGAGUGAUGAAGGCCCUAGGGUUGUAAAGCUCUUUUGUGCGGGAAGAUAAUGACGGUACCGCAAGAAUAAGCCCCGGCUAACUUCGUGCCAGCAGCCGCGGUAAUACGAAGGGGGCUAGCGUUGCUCGGAAUCACUGGGCGUAAAGGGUGCGUANGCGGGUUUUUAAGUCAGGGGGUGAAAUCCUGGAGCUCAACUCCAGAACUGCCUUUGAUACUGAAGAUCUUGAGUCCGGGAGAGGUGGAGUGGAACUGCGAGUGUAGAGGUGAAAUUCGUAAAAUAUUCGCAAGAACACCAGUGGCGAAGCGGCUCACUGGCCCGGUACUGACGCUGAGGCACGAAAGCGUGGGGAGCAAACAGGAUUAGAUACCCCUGGUAGUCCACGCCGUAAACGAUGAAUGCCAGCCGUUAGUGGGUUUACUCACUAGUGGCGCAGCUAACGCUUUAAGCAUUCCGCCUGGGGAGUACGGUCGCAAGAUUAAAACUCAAAGGAAUUGACGGGGGCCCGCACAAGCGGUGGAGCAUGUGGUUUAAUUCGACGCAACGCGCAGAACCUUACCAGCCCUUGACAUGUCAGGACCGGUCGCAGAGAUGUGACCUUCUCUUCGGAGCCUGGAACACAGGUGCUGCAUGGCUGUCGUCAGCUCGUGUCGUGAGAUGUUGGGUUAAGUCCCGCAACGAGCGCAACCCCCGUCCUUAGUUGCUACCAUUUAGUUGAGCACUCUAAGGAGACUGCCGGUGAUAAGCCGCGAGGAAGGUGGGGAUGACGUCAAGUCCUCAUGGCCCUUACGGGCUGGGCUACACACGUGCUACAAUGGCGGUGACAAUGGGAUGCUAAGGGGCGACCCUUCGCAAAUCUCAAAAAGCCGUCUCAGUUCGGAUUGGGCUCUGCAACUCGAGCCCAUGAAGUUGGAAUCGCUAGUAAUCGUGAUCAGCACGCCACGUG
rnacentral:rRNA from 1 species